UACGGAGGAUCCAAGCAGUUAUCCGGAAUCAUUGGGUUUAAAGGGUACCGUAGGCGGUCUUAUAAGUCAGUGGUGAAAUCUCCCCGCUCAACGGGGAAACGGCCAUUGAUACUGUAGGACUUGAAAUUAUUAGGAAGUAACUAGAAUAUGUAGUGUAGCGGUGAAAUGCUUAGAGAUUACAUGGAAUACCAAUUGCGAAGGCAGGUUACUACUAAUAGGAUUGACGCUGAUGGACGAAAGCGUUGGGUAGCGAACAGG
rnacentral:rRNA from 1 species